rnacentral:lncRNA from 1 species
GGAAGCUUUAGCUCGGGCCCAACUCCGACGCGGCCUACUCAAAUACAUGUAAAACGCAUAAACGCCUUUCUGAGAUACCCCCGGGCCGAUGCUAAGGAAAUUUGUUGCACUUGAGAGAGAAAGUUAAAUUCUAGGGGCUGUUGGAAGCGUAAUUUCAAUUUAGCGCCUAAAAUUUGUUAAAAGAAUUUUCAAGAAUUCGGAAGAUCGAAAAAAAAUAGAAGCACGAAGUUAACAAAUUAAUAGCUCUACAUAAAGAACAGAUAUCGCUGUUCUGUAAACAGCAUCCAUUAGAGCAUUCAAAGGGGGCAAAUUCGAUUUUUCAUUUUACGCUUUACUUGAAUUUGUAAUGUCAGUUACAAGGCUU